AGGAGUAUAGAAAUAUCAAGAAAUUACAUUGGACAAUCGCCGAACUAUUUUCUUAUUAGGAACCAGUGAUAAUCGCAAUCGAUAGGGUGCAACGUGACGAAUAGCGAAUUCUCCUUAUUACUUCGUUGAAGAAGAGAGAAUCGUUUUCUUUCGAUAUUCCGGUGAGAUCGUCUUUUGUACGCCGAGAAUGAGCGACCGAUCCUUAAGAAGAAAGGUCGAAAAAAAGAAGACGAAGAAGAAGAAGAAAAA
rnacentral:lncRNA from 1 species